GGAGGGUAUAGCUCAGUGGUAGAGUGUGUGCUUAGCAUGCACGAGGUCCUGGGUUCAAUCCCCAGUAUCUCCA
rnacentral:tRNA from 1 species